UACGAAGGGUGCAAGCGUUAAUCGGAAUUACUGGGCGUAAGGGGUGCGUAGGCGGUUGUUUAAGUCUGUCGUGAAAUCCCCGGGCUCAACCUGGGAAUGGCGAUGGAUACUGGACAGCUAGAGUGUGUCAGAGGAUGGUGGAAUUCCCGGUGUAGCGGUGAAAUGCGUAGAGAUCGGGAGGAACAUCAGUGGCGAAGGCGGCCAUCUGGGACAACACUGACGCUGAAGCACGAAAGCGUGGGGAGCAAACAGGG
rnacentral:rRNA from 1 species